AAAAGCUUAGUUUAAAAUAAAACAUUAAUUUGUCAAGUUAAAAAUAUUAUAUUAAUAGUUUUUA
rnacentral:tRNA from 1 species